UUGCGCAAUGAGCGAAAGCUUGACGCAGCGACGCCGCGUGCGGGAUGAAGGCCCUCGGGUCGUAAACCGCUUUCAGCAGGGACGAAACUGACGGUACCUGCAGAAGAAGCCCCGGCCAACUACGUGCCAGCAGCCGCGGUAAUACGUAGGGGGCAAGCGUUGUCCGGAUUUAUUGGGCGUAAAGAGCUCGUAGGCGGUUCGACAAGCCGACGGUGAAAUCUCCACGCUCAACGUGGAGGGGUCCGUCGGAACUGUCGUGACUAGAGUCCGGUAGGGGAGUGUGGAAUUUCCGGUGUAGCGGUGAAAUGCGCAGAGAUCGGAAGGAACACCCGUAGCGAAGGCGGCACUCUGGGCCGGUACUGACGCUGAGGAGCGAAAGCGUGGGGAGCAAACAGGAUUAGAUACCCUGGUAGUCCACGCCGUAAACGUUGGGCACUAGGUGUGGGGCUCUAUCAACGGGCUCCGUGCCGUAGCUAACGCAUUAAGUGCCCCGCCUGGGGAGUACGGCCGCAAGGCUA
rnacentral:rRNA from 1 species